UACGUAGGGUGCGAGCGUUAAUCGGAAUUACUGGGCGUAAAGCGUGCGCAGGCGGCUUUGCAAGACAGAUGUGAAAUCCCCGGGCUCAACCUGGGAACUGCAUUUGUGACUGCAAGGCUAGAGUACGGCAGAGGGGGAUGGAAUUCCGCGUGUAGCAGUGAAAUGCGUAGAUAUGCGGAGGAACACCAAUGGCGAAGGCAAUCC
rnacentral:rRNA from 1 species